rnacentral:lncRNA from 1 species
UCUUACAUAAGCCAAAGCUAAACUCUCUACAACUAGGUACCUAGUGUAUUCUCAAAUUGCAAAUCAUGCCAUAUGACAUUGUACCAGAAGCUACUAAUACGUGUAAUAUGUGGCUAACUUUUUGGUCAAGUUUCUAAUCUAUUAAUUAACUAAAAACAUGUCUAAAGUCAAAUCUGCAUCUAUAAAGCUUUUAAGAAGUUUUGCCAUAAGAUAUUAUUAAAUUUAUCUAUAUUUAUUUCUUACCUAACAUUUCUUAUCUUGAUAAUUAUGUAUGUCUGAGAUACU